rnacentral:rRNA from 1 species
UGAGGAAUUUUGCGCAAUGGGCGAAAGCCUGACGCAGCGACGCCGCGUGGAGGAAGAAGCCCCUCGGGGUGUAAACUUCUUUUAUCGUUGAUGAAAUCUGACAUUAGGCGAUGAAUAAGAGCCUGCUAACUACGUGCCAGCAGCAGCGGUAAUACGUAGGGCUCAAACGUUAUCCGGAUUUACUGGGCGUAAAGAGUGCGUAGGUGGUUUUUAAAGUUGUUAAUAAAAUUCCAGAGCUCAACUUUGGAAAGCUUAACAAUACUCAUUAACUUGAGGUCAGAAGGGGCAGGCGGAAUUCCUGGUGUAGGGGUGAAAUCCGUUGAUAUCAGGAAGAACACCGAUGGCGAAGGCAGCCUGCUAGUCUGAUUCUAACACUGAGGCACGAAAGCGUGGGGAGCGAACGGG